GAGUUUGAUCCUGGCUCAGGAACGAAACGCUGGUGGUGGUGCCUAAUACAUGCAAGUCGAACGAUGAAGAUGCUGCCGUGUCCGGGGGCGAGCUCAAAGUUGGGCGAGACACGGGUUGGAAUGACACGCUGGUUAGGAUAAUCAUACCCUAUCAAGGCUGGGGGGAGACUAAGCCCAAGUACGAAAAUGCAUGUGGGCUUAAAUUACCCCGCAAUUAUGGCACCCAACUACGCUAUACUUGCUAGGGAAUUAGCGGGGGAAGUGAAUNCAUUAUUCUGUCACUCUGCGCGUAGAGAGACUCCGGGGUACUGGGGGAUCCAGGAUUAAGGUCUUGGGUGCGAUGAGUUAGUGCAGACANCCAUAAGACCAUGAUUNCCAUAACGNUUGAGUCUGGAUGCAUGGGAUAGGUGCCUUGGACUCACACAGCUAGGGUAUCUGGGGAGACUCGCGGAGCCACCCAGGGACCUACCCUAAUCCGNGUAACGGGGANAGGAGGAUGGGGGGAAAAUGCGUGAAAGUCCGUCAAAGUUGGCGGACUGGGAGAGGGGGCCAUAGACACCCGUGAGACCGAUUAGGCCCGGGANGUUCGAAGUUUGGGAAAGGUUAAGAAGAUGGGCCCACUUGCGGGNGCGUUUAGGGGGGUAAGGGUUCCAUUAGGCUCCCGUCCGGGCUUGUAGGGAANUGUCACGGUCAGAAACCGGGAAAUUGCCUGUGGUUGGUCCCAGAAAGGGCCGCCCCACGGGGGCCACCCGGUGCCAAGAGUUCCACAGGUAGGCCCCAGGGCAGGG
rnacentral:rRNA from 1 species